UACGUAGGUGGCGAGCGUUGUCCGGAUUUACUGGGCGUAAAGGGAGCGUAGGCGGACUUUUAAGUGAGAUGUGAAAUACCCGGGCUCAACUUGGGUGCUGCGUUUCAAACUGGAAGUCUAGAGUGCAGGAGAGGAGAAUGGAAUUCCUAGUGUAGCGGUGAAAUGCGUAGAGAUUAGGAAGAACACCAGUGGCGAAGGCGAUUCUCUGGACUGUAACUGACGCUGAGGCUCGAAGGCGUGGGGAGCAAACAGGAUUAGAUACCCGUGUAGU
rnacentral:rRNA from 1 species